rnacentral:tRNA from 1 species
UGCCCCAUGGCUGAGUUGGUUACAGCGUCCGACUGUUAUCCCUCCGAUGCAAUCGGAAGGUCGUGAGUUCGAGCCUCACUGGGGCAG